AGCUUUGCGCAGUGGUGAUAACGUUGCCAAUAAGGCUUUGCCGAGGUGCGUUUAUGGCUGGCUGG
rnacentral:snRNA from 1 species